AGAGUUUGAUCCUGGCUCAGAAUCAACGCUGGCGGCGCGCCUAACACAUGCAAGUCGAACGAGAAAGUGGAGCAAUCCAUGAGUAAAGUGGCGCACGGGUGAGUAACACGUGGAUCAUCUACCUUUUAGUGGGGAAUACCUCUGGGAAACCGGAGACAAUACCGCAUAAGCCCGCAAGGGGAAAGCAGCAAUGCGCUGAAAGAGGAGUCCGCGGCCGAUUAGCUAGUUGGCGGGGUAACGGCCCACCAAGGCGAAGAUCGGUAGCCGGCCUGAGAGGGCACACGGCCACACUGGCACUGAAACACGGGCCAGACUCCUACGGGAGGCAGCAGUGGGGAAUCUUGCACAAUGGGCGAAAGCCUGAUGCAGCGACGCCGCGUGAGCGAUGAAGCCCUUCGGGGUGUAAAGCUCUUUCGACGGGAACGAUAAUGACGGUACCCGGAGAAGAAGCUGCGGCUAACUACGUGCCAGCAGCCGCGGUAAUACGUAGGCAGCGAGCGUUGUUCGGAAUUACUGGGCGUAAAGAGUGUGUAGGCGGUGUUCCCAGUCUGUUGUGAAAUCUCCCGGCUUAACUGGGAGGGUGCAGCGGAAACUAGAAUGCUAGAGGGUGGGAGAGGUAAGCGGAAUUCCUGGUGUAGCGGUGAAAUGCGUAGAUAUCAGGAGGAACACCUGUGGUGUAGACAGCUUACUGGACCACUUCUGACGCUGAGACACGAAAGCGUGGGUAGCAAACAGGAUUAGAUACCCUAGUAGUCC
rnacentral:rRNA from 1 species